rnacentral:rRNA from 1 species
AAAUGAAUUGACGGGGGCCCGCACAAGCAGUGGAGUAUGUGGUUUAAUUCGAAGCAACGCGAAGAACCUUACCAGGUCUUGACAUCAGAUGCAUACCUAAGAGAUUAGGGAAGUCCUUCGGGACAUCUAGACAGGUGGUGCAUGGUUGUCGUCAGCUCGUGUCGUGAGAUGUUGGGUUAAGUCCCGCAACGAGCGCAACCCUUAUGCUUAGUUACUACGAAAGAGGACUCUGAGCAGACUGCCGUUGACAAAACGGAGGAAGGUGGGGAUGACGUCAAAUCAUCAUGCCCUUUAUGACCUGGGCCACACACGUACUACAAUGGCUAUUAACAGAGAGAAGCAAGACCGCGAGGUGGAGCAAAUCCCAUAAAAAUAGUCUCAGUUCGGAUCGUAGGCUGCAACUCGCCUACGUGAAGCCGGAAUUGCUAGUAAUCGCGGAUCAGCAUGCCGCGGUGAAUACGUUCCCGGGCCUUGUACACACCGCCCGU